rnacentral:lncRNA from 1 species
AAAAAAUAUAUAUAUAUAUAUUUUUAAGAUCAGAUAUUUUACAUUUUAUUUCUCUAUAUAAUUUUACUCCUUAUCUCAGCACCCUGAUCCACUCAUUUUAAAAAGUAUCCAAACAAAGUUACAGUUAUCCCGCCCGCUAAAAUUUUAUUUUCCCUUUAAAAAUUAUCCCCUCCAUAUCCUCCAGCCAACCGGGCCCUAAAAGGUUAAAUCCACUUUGAUCUCUUAGGCCAUGUUUGAUACCGGGUUAGGGAGGGGGGAUUGGAAUUAGGAGUCCGGGGGGCCCCUAAUCUCGUGUUUUGUAUUUUGGGCAAUUUAUGGCCGGACUAAUAGUCCGACCGGGACUACUAAUCCACCAUUUUGUAGGAUUGUUAAUCUCAUGGGGUUGGAUUAACAAUCCCCCUACUCCUAGGCCUCAAUGAUAUUUUUGACCAUUGAUAUUUAUUAUUUAUGUAAAUAAAGGGUAAGUAUAAAAUUUUUCAUAAUUUUUUGGACACUAUUGACCACAUUACCCUUAAUAUUUGGGUACUAAUCUCACUGUCUAAUCCGUGCAAACAAACACCCCGUCGACUAUUGGCCCUCAUUACUAAUCCCUACUCAUUGACAUCCCAAUCAUAAUCCCCCUCAUUCCUAAUCCUACCAAUUCUAUCACAAUUUAUCAACGAAGGCCUUACAAGUAUUGAUUUAAUCACACUUUGGUCUCCAACUAAAACUUGACCACAUUAGCUUCUCAUCUAUUUAAUUAUUUACAGUUUGGACCAAUUCCUAACCCCGUCCAAUUUUAUUGAUGGAAUAUACACGGUGGGUGCCACCCCAUUCAAGACCCAGGACCUAACCCCAACCCCCCUCCCAAACCCAAUCUCAUACCUUAGUAGGCUAACCACAUCUUGCCUCUACACACCAACCACUAGCCCCCCGCCCCCCCCCCCCCCCCCCCCCCCCCCCCCUUCCUUAACCCCCUAUCUAACACCCACAGCUAAUAGGAAUUUACCCCCCGCCCCAAGCUUCCUUCUUCAUUCCCUUGGAGAUGAGAGAGAAAAAAAACUCACUCGUCUCGUUGUCACUGUCAGAUCAUCUUUUGUUGAAUUCAAUGCCAAUUCAAGUAUGGAUGCAACUGAGCGAUGGUCCAUUUUUAUAAGAGGAAUGUGCUCUUCUGUGUAUGCGCACAGCGGGGCAGCAAUGGUCUUUGGAUGUUGGGCCAUGUUGUUGGUUUGAGUCUCUAAUUAGGUUAGCAGCGUUUUUUUUGGGUGGUGGUAAGGACUCUUUCUUGGUUGAGGUUAGGUCUUUCUCUGUUUGGGUAUUAGUAGAUUUGGCAGUGUUUUUUUUUUUUCGGUUAAAAAUUGGAUGACGUUAGUGAUUGGCAAUAAUGACAACCAUUCAGUGAUUAAUUUCAAAGUAUAUUGUUUAGUUGGUAGGGCAAAGUUUAGACCAGUCAGGCACUUCAAGGGCACAAGUACAUUAACUCCAAAUAUAAUCAAAUAAUUUUUAGGUAAUAUCACUGACCUCCCUUGAGUUUAAGGAUAAAAAACAUGAACCUCCCCUGGGUGUAUAAAUUAAACUGACCUCCCCUGUCUGACUUGUCUGCAUUAUUGCAAGUUAAAAAAUACCAUUUUUGUCCUCUCACUCAUCCACCAACCCACCACCCCCUAUUUUUUUUCAUUUUUUAAAAGUUUUUUAAUCAUUUUUUAAAUCUAUUUAUUUCUCUUUUUUAUCAAUUUUAUUUUCUUUUAUGAUAAACAAUUUUUUUAUUAUAUAUAUUUUUUUUGUGUCUUUUUUUAUUAAUUUAUUUUUAUUUUUUAUUUAGUUUUGGUUUUUUUAUUAAAAAUAGUUAUUACAUAAUAAAUAAAAUUAAAUAAAACAAAUAGUUUUUUGUUAAUUAUUUUUUUCAGUAAUUUUUUUUCAUUGAUUUAAAAAAAUUAAAAAAACUAAUAAAUAAAAUACAUAAAACUAAAUAAAAAAUAAAAGAAAUAAAUAUAAAUUUGGUUGUCGAACUGUAAAAACACACCUAAAUUCGACGUUGUGAUCAACCACCAUUUAGAUGUGUGUGUUUUUUUUAAUAACCCGAUCCCUAAAUUAUCUUUACUUUAUUACAGAAAUGAAUUAUUAAAAUUAAAUUUAAGUCAUUUAAUACGAGUGGUUAAAAUGACAAAAAACGAUAAUUGUUAGGAUAAAAAUAAAACACAAGACGUUUAAGUUAGAUAAGAUAAUAUAAUUAUUUUAAAAGUUAAAGGAUUUAAAGUUUAAUUUUAGGUAUCGAAUGACACGGCAUGGGGGUGACUCACCACUGGCCGUUUGUUAUUUUCUUGUUGUCUUGACAAAAGUUUAUAAAAGAGAAAUGUUUAUACGACAGUAAGGGCGAAAGAAAGAUUAGGAAGUAAAAGAAAGGAGAAAAAUAAAGAUAAAUAUUAGUGUGGGUGUAAGAUCAACGUGAGAUGAUAAUUGAAUCGAGGUACAAAUUUUAGUAGGAUGAUCGUGGGAGUCAGAUCUUCAUAUCUAGUGGGCUCAAUUCAUUUGAGGUAAGCAGAGGUCUGCAAUAUGCUUUCUAACUCUCCGGAGUUUUUCUUAAAUUAUCGAUUUUGUACUCCUUUAGCAUGUGCGAUCUGUUUGAAAUCCAUGAUAUUUAUUAAAACUCAGACCAUGGUGAAAUCAUGAUUGUAUUGGCUGAAUGCCAUGGUUUGAAUGGUACGGAUUGGGUGAGCUGCAAAUAACUCUUGCACCCGGGAUAGCCAGAAAGGCUAGGUGAGGUCGCCAUCAUUCGCGACCGAAAAGACCGGGUAUGAGGUUUUUUAUGAAUUAUGUGAUUCGUUGAGCAUAUUUCCGUUGUAGUGUAUCUUUACUGCUUAAUUUAUUUUUUCAGGCGGACGUGAGUCCGUUUAGUGCGAGAUGGGUCGGGAGAAGAACUUGAAAUUUAUGAUGCUUUUGUAUUAAUUUUAAUUUUGAAGAAAUUAUAAAAAUAAAGCUCUGAUCAUUGAAUAUGGAGACUUUUAGCGCUCUGGUUUUGUAUAUUUGGAGAUACGAUUGCGACCACCAUUAACGGCCCGGGCGGGUCGUUACCGUUUUUUAUAAAUAGUUUUAGAUUUUUUGGUUUUUGCUGCUCUUUCUUUAUUUUUUAUUUAAUUUUGUUUAUUGUUAUUUUAUUAAUUUUUUUUAAAAUUAAUUUUUGGAGUCAUUAUUUAUUAAACUUAAAAAAAAGUAUCAAAAUAUGAAUCAAAAUAAAACGUAAUAUAUAUAAAAAUAACAAAAAUUAAAUAAUAGAAAAAAUGAUGAAAAAAUAUAACAAAAUUAAUUUUUUAUAUGUGAAUUAACUAUUUUUUUUAAUUAAAAAAAAAACAAAAAUUAAAUAAAAAUAAAAUAAUUAAUGAAAAAAAAAAAACAAAAAAAAAAGAUUAAUCAAAAAUUCAUUUAUCUAAACCCCCCCAACCCCCCCCCCCCCCCCAAAAAUAAAUAAUAAAAACUAUAUAUAAAAUUUAGAUUAAAAAACUUUAAAAAAAAAGGGCGUUGGGGUGGGGGUGGGCUGUCUGAGUGAUUGAAAGGGCAAAAAGGUAAUUGUGACUUGCAAUAUGGCAGACAAAGUCUGACAGGGGAGGUCAGUGUAAUUUUUCUAACCUCAGGGGAGGUCCUGUUUUUUAUCCUAAACCUCAGGGGGGUCGGUAGAUAUUUACCCAUAAUUUUAUAGUAAAGUAGUUUGGAGAAUUACGCAACUAAUCUAUCAUGAAGUUUGAAUAAUUCAAAGAACCUUCCCUUACAGGCUUGCAGAAGGAUUUGUUUAGGUGGAUUUGGAAUGAGGGGGAUUUGAGGGUAUAUUUUAAAUGAGGGAGGAUUUAUAACUAAGGUGGGACCCACACUUUUUAAGAAGGUGGAUUUGUAGUUUGAUGUUUGGAUGUGUUUUGGGAGAAGCGGGAUUUAAAAAAUUUGGAUAUUAUAGGAUAAGAUAUCAAAAGACAAAAUUAACCCCUACUUCAUUAAUUAGUUGUUAAAAUAUUCAAUAUAAUUUUUAUUUAAUUAGAUAAAAUAUAUAUUAAUUAAUAUUUAGAUAAUUAAGAAAAAUUUUACUUUAAAUAUUAAUAUAUAAUAUAAAAAUAUAGAAUUCAUUUUUUUUUGGAUUAGAUUUCUAAAUUAAUUAUUUAUUGACGUUUGGUUGAUAAAACUAAAAGUAGAGGUAUCAAUUGAUAUUGUAAUAAAAUCAUAAGGGUAAAUAUGUAAUUUAAUCAAUUUUAAGAGGAGAGAGAGAGAGAGUUCUGUUGAUGUUGGUUUUGUUUAUCUAAUUGAAUUGGAGAAUCCGCCCUCUCUCUCAUCUUCGGUUCCUCUUGUAGAUUGUGAAGAGCCAUAAAUUCAUUGUUUUUUCUUUUCUCUCUUUUAUUCUCCAAUUUAAUCCAAUUUUAACAAAGCAAUCCAAUCUAUAAGCACAUCCAUUGACCCCUCUCUCUCGCUCUCAACCUUCAUUGGCUCUGACCAAACCAAAAUUGGAAAGAGUGCACAAGCUUCUGUUCUUUUCCCAUUGUUCCAUAUCUCCUCAUUGACAAUCUCUUCUCGGAAGCUCGCAAUCAACUCAAACAUAAACCCAACCAACGAAUCAUCAUCUUUCGCCAUUAACCCAGCAAUUCAACCAGGAAUCAAACACACAAGCCCUUGAUUUCGAGGCCUAACUCAUGGAGUCGGCACGCACGAGGGCACAACGUCAUUAACUAUGACCGGCAGGGCCCGCGUGGUCACGGACGGGGUACCCCCUGUCCGUUUCAACUCCGUCUGUGGAAGGAUUUCGAAGGUGGUAGGAGAAGAAUCAGGGAGAAAUCAGAGAAAUCCUUGCCAAACCCGUAGAAAUAAGCACCGCGGGAGAACAAAUCCGGGAGAUGGCCAAAUCCGUGGCCAUCCCGGAUGCCAAACAUGCGUGUUAAUUUUCUGAAAUACUUCCCAACCUCCUGGUUUAAAUGCCAGUGACACUAACACUUUGUCCUCUUCCAUACACAUUUUGGCGCUCACAUCAAAUUAAAUGAUUUCACUUG